rnacentral:rRNA from 1 species
UACGUAGGGUGCAAGCGUUAAUCGGAAUUACUGGGCGUAAAGCGUGCGCAGGCAGCUAUGCAAGACAGAUGUGAAAUCCCCGGGCUCAACCUGGGAACUGCAUUUGUGACUGCAUGGCUAGAGUACGGUAGAGGGGGAUGGAAUUCCGCGUGUAGCAGUGAAAUGCGUAGAUAUGCGGAGGAACACCGAUGGCGAGGGCAAUCCCCUGGACCUGUACUGACGCUCAUGCACGAAAGCGUGGGGAGCAAACAGG